AGUGGCAUUUAAAUCCCUGGCGCUCCUCCGCCUAGGUGACGCGCAGUCGCCCCCCCAGGCAGCCCAGGCGGCGGUAGCAGCUGCGGUGUCUGCAACGGCAGAUUCCGAGCGCUGGGGCCAAGGGGAGCAGAGGCUGCCUUCUGCGUGCGCCCGACGUCGUUCGCCCCCCUCUUCCGGGAGGUGGGGGCUGGAAGGCAUCCCCCAGUUCCUGUCCCUCUCCCCGCCGGGCUCGGAAAGACGAACAGGCAAGAGGUCUGUUUUGCCUGAACCCAUCAACAGCUGGGAGAUUAAUCAACCACACGGAAAAUGUGCGCGGGCUGGGGUGCCGAGGGGGGGUCGAAUGUAGAUGUUUCAAACAAAUGUGUAUAAAUAAAUGAAUUGUUGAUAACUUA